GUUUGUAGGUGCCCUAUGAGGGAUAAACGGGAAAAUGGUGAGUAAUAACAAAGCCAUUGCUGCCCCCGCAACGGUAAAUGAGUUAAUCAUGAUCAAAGUGCCACUGUUUAAAUCAUGGGAAGGCGAUUAAUGAUAGAUUAUUCUAGCUCAUAAGCCCGUAUACCGGCCUGUAAUUUAUU
rnacentral:ncRNA from 1 species